rnacentral:rRNA from 1 species
UUGGCUUAGAAGCAGCCAUCGUUUAAAGAAAGCGUAAUAGCUCACUGGUCUAAUGGCUCUGCGCCGAAAAUGUAACGGGGCUAAGCAUGGUACCGAAGCUUUGGCAAUCUCCUUUGGAGAUUGGGUAGGGGAGCGUUCGCUGCGGGCUGAAGGUGUAUCGGAAGGUAUGCUGGACUGCAGUGAAGUGAUUAUGCUGACAUGAGUAACGAUAAAAUAUGUGAAAAACAUAUUCGCCGAAAACCCGAGGUUUCCUGGGUAAAGGUAAUCUUCCCAGGGUUAGUCGGAUCCUAAGGUGAGGGUGAAAGCCGUAACCGAUGGAAAACAGGUUAAUAUUCCUGUACUUGUUGUGUAGCGCGAUGGAGGGACGCAGGAAGAUAGGCGGGCCGGGUGUUGGAUAUCCCGGUGCAAGCGUGUAGGAAUAUCCGGUAGGCAAAUCCGCCGGACGAAUCUGAGACGCGAGUCCGUGGGCGCAAGCCCUGAAGCCGUUGAGUCUAUGCUGCCUAGAAAAGCUCCUAAGUUUAUCCACAGCAAUCCGUACCGCAAACCAACUCAGGUGGGUGGGAUGAACAAUCCAAGGCGCUCGAGAGAACUCUGGCCAAGGAACUCGGCAAAAUAACCCCGUAACUUCGGAAGAAGGGGUGCUCUCUAGGGUGACAUGUUUAACAUAUGAAGCCCCGGGGAGCCGCAGUGAAUUGGUGGUGGCGACUGUUUACUAAAAACAUAGGUCUGUGCGAAGUCCUAAAGACGACGUAUACGGACUGACGCCUGCCCGGUGCUGGAAGGUUAAAAGGAGGGGUCAGCGCAAGCAAAGCUCCGAAUUGAAGCCCCAGUAAACGGCGGCCGUAACUAUAACGGUCCUAAGGUAGCGAAAUUCCUUGUCGGGUAAGUUCCGACCUGCACGAAUGGCGUAACGAUCUCCACACUGUCUCGGCCAGAGACUCGGUGAAAUUGAAGUCGCGGUGAAAAUGCCGUGUACCCGCAGAAAGACGGAAAGACCCUGUGCACCUUUACUAUAGCUUGACAUUGGAUUUUGGGCCUGCAUGUGUAGGAUAGGUGGGAGGCUGUGAACCCUGUACGCCAGUAUGGGGGGAGCCAUCCUUGAAAUACCACCCUUGCAUGUUUAAGAUCCUAACUUCUUCCGGUUAUCCCGGAGAAAGACAGUGUCUGGCGGGUAGUUUGACUGGGGCGGUCGCCUCCUAAAGUGUAACGGAGGCAUGCAAAGGUUCCCUCAGCCUGAUCGGAAACCAGGCGCUGAGUGCAAACGCAUAAGGGAGCUUGACUGUAAGAGAGACAUCUCGAACAGGAACGAAAGUUGGCGUUAGUGAUCCGGUGGUCCCGAAUGGAAGGGCCAUCGCUCAUUGGAUAAAAGGUACGCCGGGGAUAACAGGCUGAUCGCAUCCAAGAGUUCACAUCGACGAUGCGGUUUGGCACCUCGAUGUCGGCUCAUCACAUCCUGGGGCUGAAGCAGGUCCCAAGGGUACGGCUGUUCGCCGUUUAAAGUGGUACGCGAGCUGGGUUUAAAACGUCGUGAGACAGUUUGGUCCCUAUCUUCUGUGGGCGAAGGAGAAUUGAGAGGGCCUGUCCCUAGUACGAGAGGACCGGGAUGGACGCACCCCUGGUGAUCCUGUUGUCGCGCCAGCGGCAUAGCAGGGUAGCUAUGUGCGGAAGGGAUAACCGCUGAAAGCAUCUAAGCGGGAAGCCUGCCUCAAGAUAAGUUCUCCCCUCGAAAGAGCUGAAGGGCCCGGGUAGACUACCCGGUCGAUAGGCUGGAGGUGUAAGCGCGGCGACGUGCUCAGCUGACCAGUACUAAUAGCCCGAGCGGCUUAUUUUU